UAUAGAUAGGACUGCUAAUCUUACAAGCAUUCUCAAGAUCGAUUGUCGGCAGUAGUUCUAUUCAUUCUAUCGCUGUAACUUUUCUCUCGUGUUGCUAUGGACAAGUUGUUUGACCUGGAUCUCCGUGACCCCCGCACAGAAGGAAGACACCUUGCCGUUGGGUUGAUGCAUGACCAAUUCCUUGCAGAAGCCAUGGUAACAACCUUUUGUACAUUAACUGAACUUGAACUUGUACAUGAAAUGAAUGUUUCAGUACCUCAGAAACUCCGUCUAACAAGAUGUUGGACUUAAACACACAGGAGGCUGCGGAGAAUGUCAAUCGGGCAAGAUCUGGAGGGGAUUCACCACGGAGCUCAACCAAACGGAGCGGACGCGGCAAGGCCAGAGGGAGACGUGGAGGCCGUGCGGGCCAUACAGGCCGUGCAGACCGAUGGAGUGGCCUAACUACAGGCAUGGACACUGAGGUGUUGGCACUUCCUUCAGAGGAUUCCUUGCCCUUACCCAGAGCACAGCAAAAUCCUCAAGAGAUGUUUGAACAAAACAUGGAGAGGCUUUCUGCCCUACUGGAUUCAAGCCCCUGUCCUGCUGAGCCUGAGAGAAGCGCAGCAUCAUCGUGGUCUGUUAGGCAGCAGAAAGCCUCUGACCGUUGGGAGGAAGCACGGCCGUACCACCUCAGAUGCCUUUUGGAAUCUGAGGCUGUUGGCAAGCCAUUGUGUUGCUUCUGCCACAAGCCGGCUGUUAUAAGGUGCAGAGAGUGCCUUCCGGAGCAGUGGUUUUGUGGGGCCUGCGACAUGCAUAACCACAGCAAACGGCCACUCCACAACAGGGACAGCGUGGUGGAUGGCUUCUUUAAAGCCAUUCCCCCAUCCACAUGUAUCUCAAGAGGAGAGACUGGAAUAUAUGCCACACAUGAGCAAGGUAAGGUCUGA
rnacentral:lncRNA from 1 species